ACAAAAAUACAAGACAGACAAAAAUUAAACAGGGAUAAACAUGAGCAAAAAAAUAAAGAAUUAAGGAAAAACUAGAGGUGGAGAUAAAAUUCCUACAAUUUAAAAUCACAAAUAAAUAAAUAAACUGAGUUAACUUUAAUUCAAACAGCCAUUAUGAAAGCCUCUAAGUUUUUCCAGGAUGUAAAAGCUUAUAUUUAUAAUAAAUUCUUCUUUUCUUGCUUUGACUGAAUGCCCGCCAUCUGUGUAAAUUAAAAAUUAAAUCAUAUCCAUUCCUGUAUUAUUUUAAUAUUUCAAACAGAUUUCCAGACUUCAUGCAGAUGGAGGCCACGUCGUCCAGGCCUGCAGGGCGACUCCCUACAGAAACCCCAACUCCCGCAUCAGCUACACCAUUAUCGAAAACCCGUACCGAGAAAAAAGAUUUCUAGUUUAGAUCACCCUGAGUGGAGAGUCCAGCAGCUCAAACCUGCAGCCGUAAAACUAAACUAAAGGUCUGCAUCACCUGCUCGGUUCUCCUGUGUGAGAACGCCGUUCCUGGUGCACCGUUCCCUGUUCUCAGCGAUGCACCAACCAAAGGAAGCUCCUUCUCAAACUAACAGCCACUCCAUUUCCCAGGGACCUCUGGCACUAAAGGGGAGUGGUUUUCUUCUCCUUCACAGGGUGGCAGGCUGAUGGGAUCCAGCUGUGACUCAUCACCACCAAUCUGCCUUAAACAAGAGCGGCUUCCCGGAAGCAGGUGCCAGAUGGUUCUGAUUCUACAGUGGUACUGUCUAGCGGUCAGUGCUGUAUUCCCAGUGUCCUUGUUCUGACUCCUUUUCAUAUGUCCUUUCCUCUACAGUGAACCCGUGCUGAACACUC